rnacentral:rRNA from 1 species
ACUCAAAUGAAUUGACGGGGACCCGCACAAGCAGCGGAGCGUGUGGUUUAAUUCGAAGCAACGCGAAGAACCUUACCAGGGGUGGACAUGGGCGUGAGCGGCUCAGAGAUGAGCGUCCCUUCGGGGCACGUCCACAGGUGCUGCAUGGCUGUCGUCAGCUCGUGCCGUGAGGUGUUGGGUUAAGUCCCGCAACGAGCGCAACCCUCAUCGUCGGUUAGCCAUGUCCGACGAGACUGCCGCGAUGAACGUGGAGGAAGGUGGGGAUGAUGUCAAGUCAGCACGGCCCUGACCUCCUGGGCCACACACACGCUACAAUGGCCGAGACAAUGGGAGGCCAACCCGCGAGGGGGAGCUAAUCCCAGCAAAGUCGGUCUCAGUUCGGAUUGCAGGCUGCAACCCGCCUGCAUGAAGUCGGAGUUGCUAGUAACCGGGGGUCAGCACACCCCGGUGAAUACGUUCCCGGGUCUUGCACACACCGCCCGU